AGCAGCCGCGGUAAUUCCAGCUCCAAUAGCGUAUAUUAAAGUUGUUGCAGUUAAAAAGCUCGUAGUUGAAUUUCGGGGUUAGUAAGUUGGUCAUGCCUUUGGUAUGCACUGGCUUUACUGAUUCCUCCUUCUUGACGAACCGUGAUGUCAUUAAUUUGGUGUUGCGGGAAAUCAGGACUGUUACUUUGAAAAAAUUAGAGUGUUUAAAGCAGGCUAACGCUUGAAUACAUUAGCAUGGAAUAAUGAAAUAGGACGUUAAUCCUAUUUUGUUGGUUUCUAGGAUCGACGUAAUGAUUAAUAGGGAUAGUUGGGGGCAUUAGUAUUCAAUUGUCAGAGGUGAAAUUCUUGGAUUUAUUGAAGACUAACUACUGCGAAAGCAUUUGCCAAGGAUGUUUUCAUUAAUCAAGAACGAAAGUUAGGGGAUCGAAGACGAUCAGAUACCGUCGUAGUCUUAACCAUAAASUAUGCCGACUAGGGAUCGGAUGAUGUUAAUUCUUUAAUGACUCA
rnacentral:rRNA from 1 species